AGGUGGUGGAGUAAUAACAGAGAGAAGGAACCAGGAGAUUAAUUUUAGCUGCUAAUGAGCUGAGCUUUUGUGAAGCAGCAAUAUAAACCACACAUGCCUCUGCAGCCCCAGUAGCCAGAGGCACCCGGCUUUUCAGCUUCAGAAAAUCCAGCCAAGGCCCAACCGGAAUGGAGGGGGAGGGCCAAGAAUAUGUGUGAGACUUUGAUGCGUUGGAAGUAACUGACAAGAAACCGUAAUGUAGGAAAUCGGAACAGCUGGGAGCACCUCAAACGCAGCAGAUGGGAUUUACAGCUGGAAUAGCUGAUAUCUCCAUUCAUUCCUGAACAUCUCAACUCAAGACAACUAUCAAGAGAGAAAGGAGGACUGUUUGCUUUGUGGACAUCAGGCUGCUGGGAAUGGGGCUGAUUCCUAAUAAAUGUAACCCAAAGCUACAAAGUUGGGAGAUGAUAGCAGGGCCACGAUGAUGCAUGUGUGUGCCCUAGGCAAGGCUAGCAAUGAGACUGGGAACAGAUGGAGGACAAAAUCUGGAAGGGGAACAUUUAAAAUACUGAAGUUUAAAAUCCCCAAAUUUGGAUUUGUCAGCAUAAACCAGCUGGGGACCUGAGCUUUAUGUUGAAUUGAGAGUAAAGUGCAUUAAAGGGGUAAAAAGAAUAUCAUUCUAUUUUUCUUUAUUUCUAUUGCAUCAUGUCUUCUCCAGCAUAUUGACCUCUCCAUCAUCCCCACUCACUCACUAAUCUACAUACAGUCUCUCCUAGUCUACUGUCUGCUUCCCUGCUGCCUACAAACAUGCCCAUGUCUCUACUAUUCUCAAAAGAUUUCACUUGAUCCAUUUUUCUAUGCUGCCUGUCUUCCUAAUUCCCCUGCUUUUUGUGGCUAGGAUUCUUGAUAAGGCUGCCUAUGAUCAGUGUCUCCACUUCAUUUUCUG
rnacentral:lncRNA from 1 species